AGACUGACCCAGCCAUGCCGCGUGCAGGAAGACGGCCCUCUGGGUUGUAAACUGCUUUUAUCUGGGAAGAAAAAGGCCAUGCGUGGCAAAUUGCCGGUACCAGAUGAAUAAGCACCGGCUAACUCCGUGCCAGCAGCCGCGGUAAUACGGAGGGUGCAAGCGUUGUCCGGAUUUAUUGGGUUUAAAGGGUGCGUAGGCGGCUGAUUAAGUCAGCGGUGAAAGACUUCGGCUUAACCGGAGCAGUGCCGUUGAUACUGAUUGGCUUGAGUGUUGGAGGGGUACAUGGAAUUGAUGGUGUAGCGGUGAAAUGCAUAGAUACCAUCAGGAACACCGAUAGCGAAGGCAUUGUACUGGCCAACAACUGACGCUGAGGCACGAAAGUGUGGGGAUCGAACAGGAUUAGAUACCCUGGUAGUCCACACUGUAAACGAUGAUUACUCGCUGUUAUGGUGUAUGCUGUAGCGGCCAAGCGAAAGCGUUAAGUAAUCCACCUGGGGAGUACGCCGGCAACGGUGAAACUCAAAGGAAAUUGACGGA
rnacentral:rRNA from 1 species